rnacentral:lncRNA from 1 species
AUGGGCAAUCCCUUCUCCACGAGUGCCCCAGCGAGCCCCCCCAGUGGGACCGCUGCUGAGUUCAUGUCCAUACUAUAUGGACCAGGUACCUGCAAAUAUUUAAAUAAGUGGCAGACAUUAACUAAGUCUAAACCCAAGUUAAGCUGGCCAAGGUGGGGCUCAUUUAAUGAGGAAAAGAUAUUGUUUCUACAGUCUGUUUUAAGUGAAGCAGGUCGAGAGAUUGAAGAAGAUGAAAGAGAAGCCUUCAACCAAUGGCUCAAAGAAUAUGCCCUAAGAAAGUCCAGGAUGGAACAAUCCAUGAAUCGAGAGAAGGGUAAGAGUAAAAAAAAGAAGGUAAGUGUGGAAGAGAACCAAGUUGAGGGAGGAGAGCAGACUAAGAAAAGGAGUAGGGAGACUACUGAAGAGCAGAUAACGAGAUUACAGAACGAGGUGGAGGACCUUAAGGAGCUUCUGAAAAGCUCUAGCAAUCCAGCAACCCCUUUAGACAGCACGUCUGAGCCCCUAGGGUCACCGGGGCCACCCAUUCCCCCGCUUCCCUCUAAAAUUAAGGGAAAAGAAGAAACCGAAGCAAUGCAGGCAUCUUCUACUCCUUGGACAAAAUCAGAACUCAGAGCUAUAGCCAAGGAAUUCCCAAAGGCUAGGGAAAGCCCCAUAGAAUUUGCCAAGGAAUUUCAGUUGACUCUUUCUAUUUAUCAGCCUGACCUAUCAGACCUUUACCAGCUAGUUCACAUAUUGGUAGGUCCAGGAGACGCCAAUCACUGGUUUAAAAUUGCUAAUUGGGAAAACCCUUUAGAACAUAUUAAUCAGUUGAUGACCAGAAAGGAAGGACCUGAAAGUCACCUCCAGGAGGCUAGGAAGAUUGGAGAAUCUUUGCUAGAAGCAAUCCCCAAGGCUUUCCCAAAGUCGGUAAAUUGGGGAAAAAUUCUAGCUUGCACUCAGAAUCCUGGGGAGUCUGUGUUCGAUUUUUAUAAUAGAUUCCUAAUUACCUUCUGGGCGAACUCUGGGCUUAGCCCAGACAACCCAGAUGCUUUAAUUAUUUUCAACACUCUCUAUGUGGAGGGAUUAAACAGAACCCUUGCUAACCUUCUCAAGCGAGGGAAAAUAGAUUGGAAUCUAACACCCACCUCGGAUCUAGUUUACUUGGCCAGUAAGUUCCAACAAAUACUAGUUGAGGAGAAAGAUAAAGAGGCAGAAGAAUUAGCUGAGAAAAGAAAUCGAAUCAUUGAUUUACAGAUAGAACAGUGGAAGCAAAAGGAACCAGGACCAGUUUCUUCCGAUUUCACUAAGCAGUCUCUUUCCAUGUAUCCAGCCAAUGGGGAUUGGGGCAGAAGGUGCUAUUACCGCAAUAGUUUUAGGCAUGUACAACGGGACCGCCCCAAGCUGCUAAGCAAGAUAAAACAGCGCAAAGGUAGCUUUCAGUCCUCAUGA